AUUAUUUCAGGUGUGAUGUAGUGAACAUGGGUAUCAAUUCCUCCUGCUGUAACUAUUGUUCCCUCUCCCGCAAUCACUUCUGUACUUGCUGAAACAAUAAAAUCUACAUUAUCCAUCAUAUCAGGGUUUCCCCCUUUUCCGAUGAAUUUUAUUUUUCCGUCUUUUAUUCCUAUAUCAGCUUUAUAUAUUCCUGUAUAGUCUAAAAUUACAGCAUUUGUAAUUAUUGUAUCCACAACUUUUUCGUUUGUUCUAAGCUCAACAGGAUUAAGACCCAUCCCUGCUC
rnacentral:sRNA from 1 species